GCCAUACAGCAGAAAGUGAAGGAAUACAGCAAAAAAGAAAACUCCUAGAGGGAUGCUUAGAAGAAGAGGCUCCAGAUGACUGACCUAGACUGGGGCCUAGCUUCACUAACUCUCCCUAAAAAUUUUCUUCUUCUAUGAAUUCUUAGGAACUGGUUUUCUGCGACAGAGAUCGGCUACACUGAAGAAACAAAUAACAAUCAAAGAUAUUAAGGCCAGACUUGCGAAAUGACCUACCUGACUGUGAGCAAAGGAUCGCAUAAAACAUUCAGCAAAUGCUUAAUAAUGAAGAACAUUGUGAUAGUUUCUUAAACUUAUCUAAGGAUGACUUCAUAGGAUUGGGUUAAAACCUGAAAGUUACAACAUUUCAUUAUUUUUCCAUCCAACCUUCUUUUCCUGCAUCUUAUGGUCUUUUAAUUUCUUUUUUUUUUUAAUUUCUUAUACUUCGGAUAUUUUUUGUUUUGACAGUGAUUGUUCUGACUUUUGAUGAAAAGGAAUAGGAUAUAAGAUGAAAUGGCAAUCUCCUUUUUUAAACAAAACUAUGUCAGUUUGGUAACUGUGCUUCUAUUUUUAACACAUCUCUGUUUCAUCCAGAUAAUAAAAAGCAAUCCGAGAGAAAUGUAUCCACUUACAUGCUUACAGUUUCUCCUUGUAUUCUCACUCUCACACUCUCCCCCAGGGACAGUGACUGUGUUUUGCUGCAUUUUUUGAGCAGCAGAAUACACAUGGCAACAUUUUGCUUUUGUCUCAGUGAUCUGUAUCAUUUUAUGAAACAUUGAGGCAUACCUCCCAUGUAUAUGAAUUUUACUUUAUUUCAAAAUUUCUGUGCUUAAAGGAAUAAGAAAUUAUAAAUUGCUUUACUUGCAACAUUUCCAUGGGCUUGCUUGAAAUUUUAGCUUCAAGAGCUUAACUUUCUCAUGGAUACAUUAAAACUCUGAAGGAAAAUUCAUUGAAAUUUAAUUUCUAAAUUUGAUAAUCUCACUUGUUUGCAAAGUAAAAAUAUACUAAAGGCUUUAAGUGGCUGAUGGUUUAGAGUUCACCGAUGUACUUUUAAUUAUGUUGGUAAUUUCAUUUUCUAAAAUUUAAUGCUUCAUAUCUUGAUAUGUGUUUGAAUAAUGAUGUAAGUCACAAGAGAAUGUAAAGUUCUGUAGCUGCAUUUUGAUUCUGAACAGGCAGUUUCCCAAACCUCCAAGCCUCUAUAAAUUCAUUCAGGCAUGAUCUUUAUCACAUUUUGUUGAUUUGCACCUGCUUGGUGACAAUAAAAUCAGUGUUUCCCUUUUAAUUAUCUUAAUUUUUGCUGGAACUUUUCAGGUUCUAGGAUGUUUAGAUACCUCACCUAGUUGAGGAGUGUAUUUCAUAUACAGUAAGAAAGAAUACAGUCACAUACAUGGACCUGAAAUUCUUAAUGAAGUAUUCCAUAUUGGUAACAGCUAUAAACAAUAGGUCAAAGCGAAGUUUUUAACUUUCCAUUCCACAGCAAGUAUUUCAUACUCCUCCUGUACGUCACAGAAAUGUUUCAGAGUAUCAAGAAUACCACAGAAAUAAACUCUCAGUUUCCAUGCACUGUGCAUAGCUCCUAUGGACAAAGCUUCAGGAAUGCUUCGGUGUUCACCCAUUCCACAUACAACAGGAUACCAAGGAAGUCUUCUAUCUCUUGCUGCUUUCUUCAUGCCUUGGGAGUGAUCAGCUUCACCCAUGUUUUUCUCUACAGCACCUGCUGAGAGUGGAGAUACAUACAGGGAUAAGGAUAGUACUCAGAAUAUGUAUCCAUGAAGAAAUUUAUAGGGACAGAAAUAUAAUUAAUCACCAAGGUAAAUACUUCAGUUUGGUAAGUAAUGUGUGUACUGAAAAUACAUAUAUUGAAAAGAUAUACAAAAAGGCAAAUUAUGAUAAUCUUGUCAGUGUAAAGAUUAGUUAAUUGUUUGAUAUGCUAUAUAAUUUCCAAAUUUUAUUCUUGUGUACAUAUAGUUUGUACUAGGAUGGGAAACAGCAAAGGCAUAGCUGUAAUAAACACUAGGAGUUCUUAAGGUUCAGUUCAAGGAGCAUAAAAUACCACUGACAUAUUCACAGACAAUUUUUUGGAACCUUGCAGGGGCUCUCCAGCUCCCCAUUAUUUGCGUUAUAUAUAGAUACGUAUAUUUGCAUACAUAUAUAUGACAUAUAUGCAUAUAUAUAUAUACACACUCCCAUAAACACAUGUAAGCAUAAUAUAUGUGUACAUAUGUGCCUGUUACAUGCUGCAGUCUUCUCCAGAAGGAAGGGAAACCUUCUAACUGCUGCUGACAUUAUGUUUGCCAUGCUAAUAGUUGGGCAGUUCUAGUUCCAUCUGUAAAGGAUUACAAUGUAUAUUCAGUGGAUAUAUUAGCUCAUUGUAGCCUUGCAGCAAGGUUUUGAACUAACCAUAGUUAUGUGAAGGUACUUAGCAUGUUUGCUUCAGGUAAGGGGUCUGAGGGCAUUUUGCCUGGUACUGUGCAUUUGUGGAAGCAGCAUUUCUUCAACUGCUAAAGUGGCACAUGCUUUUUAGCUAAUGACUAUACCAUGUACAAAAUAUAUUGCAUAUGUGGUGGUCACGUGCACUGAUAAAUUAUAUAUACCAUGCACCUUCAAGCGUCUCACCUGCAAUUUGUCCCAUUAAUCUAUCUUCCCAAGUAUUUAUUCUAACAUUCCAAACCUUUGAGCAGCUUCAAACAGCUGUGAUUUUUUUUCCCAAACCUGUCAAACAUGGAUUUCUUUCUUUUCUCCAAAACAGGGAUUUUUUCUUACUAAAUUAGUAUUAUCCAAAAGACAAAAGGAUAAGAUUUUGCCCUGAACCAAAGUGUAGUGUCUGAUAUACCUCAUCAAAGUGCAGAACUUCACAGGCAGCUUUUGCAACAUGCCUAAGCAAAGAGGAAACUGCUAGGUUCUCGAGAAAAGUCUUUUCUGACGUUCAGAUUUUCAAGUCACAGCAUUCUUAUCUAUAGCAGUGCUACCUCUAGUGAGUUUUAACAGAAUCAAUUUUUGGAAGGUUCAGACAUUUCUACUAGUAAUUCUCUCUUUGAGAUCACAUGGUUGAGUUAGCUGUAUGCUUAGUAGUACCUGCUGUACUAGAGAUCAAGGCUAUGAGAAAUAGUCUCCAUAAUGUUUUUUGAACAUUCACGUUUUGCAUUUAUGAAAUGUACUAGAGGGGCAAACUCAAUUCAAAAUGUCUGAAGUAGCAUAACAUUUGUAUUGGCAUUCACUUGAUUUAUCCUACCUAAUUCAUUAUUCAAAUCAAUGCUUUUUUUUUUUUUUUUUGCUUUUUUUUUUUUUUUUUUUGGCUACUUAGAAUAAGGGUCAAUUGAAGGUAAUACCAGCAAGUGUUUUUUCCACCUAUGCAAAUUUAAGCAUAUUAGUCAUUUGCUAUGACUUUUACUCCCAUUUUUAAACAUCUGUCUUCUAUACUCUUUCUCAUGACUUUCUUAACUUUCUUUCUUUCUUUCUUUUUUUUCUUUUCCUCCUGGGUUUAUUCUUCACAGCUUCUGUUACAUUACCAUGAUCUUUGGCCAUAUGCUUGGGUGUGCAUGCAAAUGGGAAUAUGGAUCCUUGCAUAGGAAGAAGAAAACUGGCUCUGUUAAUGGUAUAAGCAUCAGGCUGAUUAUCAAUGGCAGUUUUUUGCUACUCUCUAUGGGAUAGAAAUAGACACUGGAUGAUCACAGAAGAUACCCCAUCACAAAUGUAAAAAAUGAUGUUAUUGAACCUCUUGCACUCAAACUUAUUUCACUGUGUCAGAACAGUUUCAGCAAUUAAAUAAUUAAUUUUGUUGACAUUUAAGGAAGUGUUGACACAAUUGAUCAUAGAAAACAAAUAAAAAUUCUCCCAUGUUUUCCUUUCACAAGAAAGGGAAGGCACAGAAUGAUUGAAGACUUGUAUGAGUUAUGUACUGGACUCACAGUCUGAAUAUGGGUGUCACACCCAAAGCUCUGAGCUGUGCUGUGCAGAUGUGCUGGAUGUGUGGGAAACAUCCUAGCCAGUUUGUCUUGCUGGAUUGCCUGAUGAGCAAUUGCUGUUUCCCAAAAAAGUACUCUGGAACUUCUACAGCUGAGCCCUUCUAAUUCAUAAGGUACCGGCAAUUCAGUAAUACGAAAUGAAAAGAAAGUAACGUAGGAGAUAUUACUAUACAGGUUAGGCUGAAUUUGUAUGUGUAUGGAAGGAGAUGAUGUCUCACUUUACAGAAAACUGAAAGUGAGUGAAAUUGAAAUGAGUGAAAAAGAUGACACACCACGCAAAAUCUGAAUAGAAGACUACAAAAGCUCAAUGAAAGUAAGGAAUUUGCAGUUUUUAUCCAGUUCAGCUUAUGUUCAAAGAGGAAAACAACUUCGGCAGUGCUGGACAAAUGUUUAUGCAGAGAAUAAAUCUUCUUGAAUAUCUAAUAUUUGUAAGCCUACUAAUUCAGACUAAUUGUUGGUAGAACAAAAAGUUUGGCAGAAGUGUUGCAGCUAUUCCCCACUAGUUUCUCAUAGAAUCAUAAAAUCAUAGAAUCGCCUGGGUUGAAAAAGACCUCAAAGAUCACCUGGUUUCAAACCCCCCUGCUAUGUGCAGGGUUGCCAACCAAUAGACCACACUGCUCAGAGCCACAUCUAGCCUCUUCUUGAAUGCCUCCAGGGAUGGGGCAUCCACAACCUGAUUGGGCAAUCUGUUCCAGUGUGUCACCACCCUCUGUGUGUAAAACUUCCUCCUAACAUCUAACCUAAACCUCCACUGUCUCAGUUUAAAACCAUCCCCCCUUGUCCUAUCACUAUCCACCCUCAUAAACAGUUGUUCCCCCUCCUGUUUAUAUGUUCUCUUUAAGUAUCGGAAUGUUGCAAUGAGGUCUCCCUGGAGCCUUCUCUUCUCCAAGCUAAACAAUCCCAGUUCAUUCAACCUUUCUUCAUAGGAGAGGUGCUCCAGCCCUCUGAUCAUCUUAGUGACCCUCCUCUGGAGCCGCUCUAAGAGCUAGAAGUCUUUCCUGUACUGGAGACUCCAGGCCUGGAAGUAGUACUCAUCAGUAGUAGCACAUCUUAGUGCUCAUCUUAGUGUUGAAUGUGAAUGCUACAUCACAUAAUGCAGCUCUUUUAAGUUACUGCUCAGUCACUUUUUAACAACUUGAGGGCAUGCUGCCCUGUAUAUUUCUGUCAAACCUGAUCUUUAUUUAACCCAAAAUUUCUUAUCUAUAGUACUUCAGUGCUAACACUAUUUACACGUUUCCACACAGGCUACGAGGCUUGUUGGUGUUGACAAAACAAACUGGUUUAGCAGAUUUACCACUUAAGCUUAGGCUGACCAGAAAGGUCAAAAUUGACUUUAUUCCUUGAGAGUCCACAAGCUGGGCCACGGCAGACACACCCAUCUACCUAGG
ensembl:lncRNA